GACCCCUUAGCUCAGCUGGAUAGAGCACCUGCCUUCUAAGCAGGUUGUCGCAGGUUCGAUUCCUGCAGGGGUCGCCA
rnacentral:tRNA from 1 species